CAGUCGCCACGGUAAUACAGAAGAUGCAAGCGUUAUCCGGAAUGAUUGGGCGUAAAGCGUCUGUAGGUGGCUUUUCAAGUCCACCGUCAAGUCCCAGGGCUCAACCCUGGACAGGCGGUGGAAACUACCAAGCUAGAGUACGGUAGGGGCAGAGGGAAUUUCCGGUGGAGCAGUGAAAUGCGUUGAGAUCGGAAAGAACACCAACGGCGAAAGCACUCUGCUGGGCCGACACUGACACUGAGAGACGAAAGCUAGGGGAGCAAAUGGGAUUAGAUACCCCUGUAGUCCCUGUCUCUUAUAA
rnacentral:rRNA from 1 species